GACUUUUCUGAAGACAAUGAGCUAUCUCAGUUAAUUCAAUCAGUUACAGAUCAAACUCCGUGUUCUACUGUGUUCCCCAUUCUCACUACUGCACUUGAAUAGCACUUAA
rfam:Gorilla gorilla gorilla genomic chromosome, chr4, whole genome shotgun sequence